UGGAGUAGAACACCUGUUUAGGAGAGGUGCUGGCUAGUGGAGUAGAACACCUGUUUAGGAGAGGUGCUGGCUAGUGGAGUAGAACCCCUGUUUUGGAGAGGUGCUGGCUAGUGGAGUAGAACCCCUGUUUUGGAGAGGUGCUGGCUAGUGGAGUAGAACCCCUGUUCAGGAGAGGUGCUGGCUAGUGGAGUAGAACCCCUGUUUAGGAGAGGUGCUGGCUAGUGGAGUAGAACCCCUGUUUAGGAGAGGUGCUGGCUAGUGGAGUAGAACCCCUGUUUAGGAGAGGUGCUGGCUAGUGGAGUAGAACCCCUGUUUAGGAGAGGUGCUGGCUAGCGGAGUAGAACACCUGUUUAUGAGAGGUGCUGGCUAGUGGAGUAGAACCCCUGUUUAGGAUAGGUGCUGGCUAGCGGAGUAGAACACCUGUUUAGGAGAGGUGCUGGCUAGUGGAGUAGAACCCCUGUUUAGGAGAGGUGCUGGCUCGUGGAGUAGAACCCCUGCUUAGGAGAGGUGCUGGCUCGUGGAGUAGAACACCUGUUUAGGAG